UUGUAAACGUCUUCCUGUCAGGGUUGCGGGUGGGAGGCAGGACUCAGACGCAGAGUUCAACAGGAAACACAAAGGACUUUAAUAGUCAAAGCUCAAAAAACACAGGAACCGGGGCAAAAACGAGAAACUACGGCGAUCCAAGACGAAAGACAAGGACAUGCGUGGCAAAUGACAAUGACGCGACAAGUGACACAGGAGACACAUGGCUUAAAUACACAAGGGAGGUGCAGGUGAUUGGACACAGGUGGAAACAUUUCGACAAUCAUAGGGGACGACAGGACAAGGCAGGAAGUGAAGUUACCCGGGGAGACAAGAAGCAGAAACUACAAAGAUAGACAGGAAAUAAAACCACACCGUGACAGUACCCCCCCCCCCCCCCAAGGGCCGAAUUCCAGACGGCCCCAGACUGGUAGAGCGCAGACAAGGGGCAGGAGGGAGGGAAACCAGAGACAUUGGUCGGACCGCACGGGAAACUCUGGCGGGCGGCCAGACGGCGGGGGAGCUUCUGGGGGUCGGCCUGGCGGGCGGUCUGUUGGCCGGGAGGGCUGCAGGACUGCAGGGCACUGAACGUCUAUGGAAUGGCUGGGAAACCUCCGGAGUCUCUGGCUGGGGGACAUGGGAAACCUCCGGCUCGGGGACACGGAACACCUCCGGAGUCGUCGCCGGCUCGGGGACACGGAACACCGGCUCGGGGACACGGAACACCUCCAGAGUCGUCGCCGGCUCGAGGACACGGAACACCGGCUCGGGGACACGGAACACCUCCGAGUCGUCGUGUCAGGGACACGGAACACCUCCGGAGUCGUCGCCGGCUCGAGGACACGGAACACCGGCUCGGGGACACGGAACACCUCCAGAGUCGUCGCCGGCUCGAGGACACGGAACACCGGCUCGGGGACACGGAACACCUCCGAGUCGUCGUGUCAGGGACACGGAACACCUCCGGAGUCGUCGCCGGCUCGAGGACACGGAACACCGGCUCGGGGACACGGAACACCUCCAGAGUCGUCGCCGGCUCGAGGACACGGAACACCGGCUCGGGGACACGGAACACCUCCGGAGUCGUCGCCGGCUCAGGGACACGGAACACCUCCGGAGUCGCCGGCUCAGCCCCCCCCAUAAACCCCCUCUCAAGGGCCGGAUCCCAGACGGCCCUUAAAUCACCAACGGGAGGGUGGGAGAGAACCACGGGAUGGGAGGGAGGGAGCCUGAGUCAGGGAGCGGGGACUAGAAGCGUCUGAGCCAUGGGGGCCGGUACCGGCCGAGUGGGGACGGGAGAUCGAUGAGAGCAUCUCACUAGUGAGCGCAAGAACAUCUCACUGGUGAACGUAAGAGUAUCUCACUAGUGAGUGUAAGAGCAUCUCACUAGUGAACGUAAGAGCAUCUCACUAGUGAGUGUAAGAGCAUCUCACUAGUGAGUGUAAGAGCAUCUCACUAGUGAACGUAAGAGCAUCUCACUAGUUAGUGUAAGAGCAUCUCACUAGUGAACGUAAGAGCAUCUCACUAGUUAGUGUAAGAGCAUCUCACUAGUGAACGUAAGAGUAUCUCACUAGUGAGUGUAAGAGCAUCUCACUAGUGAACGUAAGAGCAUCUCACUAGUGAACGUAAGAGUAUCUCACUAGUGAGUGUAAGACCAUCUCAAGAGUGCGCGUAAGAGCAUCUCACUAGUGAACGUAAGAGCAUCUCACUAGAGACUGUAAUAGCAUCUCACUAGAGACUGUAAGAGCAUCUCACUAGUGAGUGUAAGAGCAUCUCACUAGUGACAUAAGUGCAUCUCACUAGUGAGUGUAAGAGCGUCUCACUAUUGACUGUAAGAGCAUCUCACUAGUGAGCGUAAGAACAUCUCACUAGUGAACGUAAGAGCAUCUCACUAGAGACUGUAAGAGCAUCUCACUAGUGAAUGUAAGAACAUCUCACUAGUGAAUGUAAGAGCAUCUCACUAGUGACAUAAGUGCAUCUCACUAGAGACUGUAAGAGCAUCUCACUUGUGAGCGUAAGAGCUAAUCUAAUGUGGCCUGGUUCUUAGUCAGACUGGCCCACUCAAUGCAUAGCAUGUAUCGACCAGUGAGUGGCCUACUUGGAAAAAUACCCUUAUACUUAACAUUAUUUUGGAUGAUGACAAAGAAGUUACAUUAUACGUGUUUUUCAUAACAUUUGGAUCCAUCAAUUUUUCUGGAUGGACACAUGAAAUGAAAUGAUAUUGGCUGUUACAACAUUCCAGGUAUAGUUUUCUAGAUGAAUAUGCUUAACUCUUGGUUACUAUCAGAUCGUUAUACAUGUAUCUACACAGUCUUAAGGAAUGAAUGUCAGUAGAGAAAGAAAACAGACAAUAACGACACUGGAAUCAGAGUAUGAUCAUCAUUAAUGUGAACUAAAUGGUAGAAAUGAACAGAACAGAACAUCAGCGGGCAUUUGUGCCGGCGGGUUGAUCUCUGGUCAUUGAUGCGCGUGAUAAAACUGAUGAAACAAACAAAUGGUACAAUUGGAAUGAAAUUAAGAAAAUAAUGGCUGAGACAAAUACUAAUAUUGUAAAAAAUAUUAUUUCAUUUUCCCUUAAACUAGUGGUUGUAAUAAGUAGAGGAGGGUUAUGUUGGGGAAAUCCAAAUACGGUCAAAGAGAAAGAUAGUUUAAGGAUUAUCAGAUGUUCAGGAUGAUUUGAGAAGCAGGAUCUGGAUACCCCCCCCCCCCCCCCCCCGGUUAAUUUCAAUGAAACUGUGUGUCAUCAUGUUCCUCUUCUUCAAACAUGCAGUAGAUUCACGGCGACAUAAAAUGUCCCUGAGAGUCCGCUGCACAUAGAUAUGAAUAGUGAAUGUCUUUGCUUGGACUCCACCCUGCAGUAGGAUAAACCAGGCAUCAGAAGAAAUUAGGCAUAUUCACUAAAACAAGAUUUAUUUUAUUUGAAUCAAAUAAAUAAAUGAUUGACUUACUUCCGCUGAGAGUUUCUGGCGGGAAAGUCAUGAGCUGAUGUUAACAAGGACAGAGCUUGUUAGGGUGACACAUAGUAGGUGAUGUGAACCGGAGUUACAGUACAGGUCAACUUUAAAAAGCAAAAGAUAGUAGGGUCUCAAUCGACCACAGAUAAGGACGCAGGUCCAGAGAGGCCGCAUGAUAUGAUAGCGAAGGUCUAGCUGGACCACAGGAAGGCCUGCUGGGAUUUCAACAGAUCCCAAAGAGAGGGUCUCGAUGGACUGCAGGACAGGAGGGGGUGGGCCUGGUGCUGUCCAAUGUGUCCUUUAAAUAAUAUUCCUUCAUUUACGGGGGAAGGGGAAGCAGAGGGGCAGAAGCUGGGAAAAAAUAUCAGACGCACUACAUUUUGACAAAGUUUUUAUUUCAUACUUGUUACUUGAUCAGUACACAGACAGAGUAAUCUUACUAUUUGAAUACCAUAUACUGAAUAACAUUACACAUCUGAAUGACAGCUAAGUAGGGGAGAACCCUUCUACUGUUGUGAAUAGAAACAAGCUCCCAGUGUGAAACAACCAAACGACAAAAGAAGAACUUAUUGCUCAAUACAAAUCAACCAUAAUGGCAGCAAUGACGAAGAGUAGUAGUAGUAGUACACACAAACAAAUAUGAUUAUACCAAGAUUACACCCUAUAGUUUCCUAUUAAAAAAAGAAACUCCAAUGAAGAGGAACAGAAAUAUGUUAAAGUUUUCUUCAGUGUCGCUUCGGGGGACCUGUGCUGCAAACUGAGACUAUCUACAGGUGAAAGGAGGACCGACGUCUACAGAAGCUGAUCGAGCUGUUUACACGUUGCUACCAAACUUCACUAUUUCUAAACUCCAAGAGGAGCAGGAAGCAGCUUGCUUUUUGUGUUCGGGGAUGGAAGUGAAAACCUCAGCGAGGGGUUCUGCAGGGGUUGACGAUACUGUACAGCACUUCAAUAAAGGACAAAAUACAUUGGGGAUCUCCCGGGCAGGUUAGGUCGAAGACGAGUGGGAGAAAUCCCAAGUGUGCAGGAAAAAGCUUAGUGAAGUAAGAAAACGACGAGAGGUGAACAUAAACUCCGCUACAUGCAAACUUCAGGGCUCAUAAAUUCCCCCGCGAGGUUGCGAGAGGAGUCGAAUGAGGCGCUCGAUCUGACCGGCCAAUGACAUCUGAGCGCUUCUUCUUUUUCUUUUUAAAUCCUCCCUUGAUCAGAAAUGACAUUCUUCUUUUGACAUUCAGUCACACACCACUCCUUAAAGUCGGAAUCUCUCUCCGUGUUUCGGUAACAACACCUUCGCUUUUCUGCUCUAAAGACGGAUUUAAACGGAAACUCGACUGACACUACCGACCAUUUAAAGCAAACACGUGACAGCUAAUAGCCCUUUAGGGUGCGACUGGGUUUGCCUGUGAGAGCCGGGGCACCUUGUGAUUAUUUGGGGGCUGUUGCGGGUUGGUGUUUUUUUAGGGUGGCGUGGGGGCGUUGCCCUACAUUCCGAGCUUGGCGCCCAAACGGCUCCAAAAAAACCGGAAGCUGAAUGUGGCGCAUGAAGACCGUCCAGCACUGAAACCGAGUUUCCCCUUUGAAAGCACAGAACGUGCAGGUUUAAUGCAAGAGGGGGGGACGGCAUUUGGUUUUAUCCUGGGCGCUGGAGCCAGGAAAAGCUCCAGCUGGGUCCUCCGGUCUAGUUUGGUUUGGGUCAGAGUGCGAUAGGCACGUUAGAGACCACCUGACUACAGGCAGAACCACGUCCUGGAGUUCCUGAUGAUGACG
ensembl:lncRNA